CUCAAGUUGAAGAUCAUCGGCGUUAAGCGUGAUUAAAGUUCUCUUAGAUUAGGGCCAAAUUAAUAUUUAGUUGUUUAAAGCUUAUUAUUAAGAAGAACACAAACGAAAGUUGCCCUAACCCACACACUUGAAUACACGACAGCUGGGGAACAAACUGGGAUCAGAUACCCCACUAUGCCCAGCCGUAAACAAUUAAUCCACAACCACAAGCGCCAGGGAAUUACGAGCCAAGCUUAAAACCCAAAGGAUUUGACGGUGUCCCACCCCCCUAGAGGAGCCUGUUCUAUAAUCGAUGAUCCCCGCUACACCCGACCAUUUCUUGCUUACAUCAGUCUGUAUACCUCCGUCGAAAGCUUACCAUGUGAACGCCCCCCACAGUAGGUUCAAUGACCCCCGUCAAUACGUCAGGUCAAGGUGCAGCUUAAGAAAUGGGAAGCGAUGGGCUACAAUUUCUAACCUAGAACAAACGAAAGGCUAUGUGAAAUCAUAGUCACGAAGGCGGAUUUAGUAGUAAAAAGAAAAUAGAGUGUUCUUUUUAACCUGGCUCUGGGACGCGUACACACCGCCCGUCACCCUCUUCGAUAGUGCUAACCCACAGUCCAUAACCUAUUUAUACGUCUGAGAAGAGGCAAGUCGUAACAUGGUAAGUGUACUGGAAAGUGCACUUGGUAUAUUA
rnacentral:rRNA from 1 species